rnacentral:pre_miRNA from 12 species
AAAAAGAAGGGAACGGUCGCUGCUGAUGUAGUUAUUCGCAUCAUUUAUAUCACAGUGGCUGUUCUUUUUUGUUUG